GACGAACGCUGGCGGCGUGCUUAACACAUGCAAGUCGAACGGAAAGGCCCUGCUUUUGUGGGGUGCUCGAGUGGCGAACGGGUGAGUAACACGUGAGUAACCUGCCCUUGACUUUGGGAUAACUUCAGGAAACUGGGGCUAAUACCGGAUAGGAGCUCCUGCUGCAUGGUGGGGGUUGGAAAGUUUCGGCGGUUGGGGAUGGACUCGCGGCUUAUCAGCUUGUUGGUGGGGUAGUGGCUUACCAAGGCUUUGACGGGUAGCCGGCCUGAGAGGGUGACCGGCCACAUUGGGACUGAGAUACGGCCCAGACUCCUACGGGAGGCGGCAGUGGGGAAUAUUGCACAAUGGGCGGAAGCCUGAUGCAGCAACGCCGCGUGCGGGAUGACGGCCUUCGGGUUGUAAACCGCUUUCGCCUGUGACGAAGAGUGAGUGACGGUAAUGGGUAAAGAAGCACCGGCUAACUACGUG
rnacentral:rRNA from 1 species